GGUUAAGCGACUAAGCGUACACGGUGGAUGCCCUGGCAGUCAGAGGCGAUGAAGGACGUGCUAAUCUGCGAUAAGCGUCGGUAAGGUGAUAUGAACCGUUAUAACCGGCGAUUUCCGAAUGGGGAAACCCAGUGUGAUUCGUCACACUAUCAUUACGUGAAUACAUAGCGUAAUGAAGCGAACCGGGGGAACUGAAACAUCUAAGUACCCCGAGGAAAAGAAAUCAACCGAGAUUCCCCCCAGUAGCGGCGAGCGAACGGGGAGCAGCCCAGAGUCUGAAUCAGCUUGUGUGUUAGUGGAACGGUCUGGAAAGUCCGACGGUACAGGGUGAUAGUCCCGUACACCAAAAUGCACAGGUUGUGAACUCGAAGAGUAGGGCGGGACACGUGGUAUCCUGUCUGAAUAUGGGGGGACCAUCCUCCAAGGCUAAAUACUCCUGACUGACCGAUAGUGAACCAGUACCGUGAGGGAAAGGCGAAAAGAACCCCGGCGAGGGGAGUGAAAAAGAACCUGAAACCGUGUACGUACAAGCAGUGGGAGCAUCCUUUUGGGUGUGACUGCGUACCUUUUGUAUAAUGGGUCAGCGACUUAUAUUCUGUAGCAAGGUUAACCGUAUAGGGGAGCCGAAGGGAAACCGAGUCUUAACUGGGCGUUAAGUUGCAGGGUAUAGACCCGAAACCCGGUGAUCUAGCCAUGGGCAGGUUGAAGGUUGGGUAACACUAACUGGAGGACCGAACCGACUAAUGUUGAAAAAUUAGCGGAUGACUUGUGGCUGGGGGUGAAAGGCCAAUCAAACCGGGAGAUAGCUGGUUCUCCCCGAAAGCUAUUUAGGUAGCGCCUCGUGAAUUCAUCUUCGGGGGUAGAGCACUGUUUCGGCUAGGGGGUCAUCCCGACUUACCAACCCGAUGCAAACUGCGAAUACCGAAGAAUGUUAUCACGGGAGACACACGGCGGGUGCUAACGUCCGUCGUGAAGAGGGAAACAACCCAGACCGCCAGCUAAGGUCCCAAAGUCAUGGUUAAGUGGGAAACGAUGUGGGAAGGCACAGACAGCCAGGAUGUUGGCUUAGAAGCAGCCAUCAUUUAAAGAAAGCGUAAUAGCUCACUGGUCGAGUCGGCCUGCGCGGAAGAUGUAACGGGGCUAAACCAUGCACCGAAGCUGCGGCAGCGACACUAUGUGUUGUUGGGUAGGGGAGCGUUCUGUAAGCCGUUGAAGGUGUGCUGUGAGGCAUGCUGGAGGUAUCAGAAGUGCGAAUGCUGACAUAAGUAACGAUAAUGCGGGUGAAAAACCCGCACGCCGGAAGACCAAGGGUUCCUGUCCAACGUUAAUCGGGGCAGGGUGAGUCGACCCCUAAGGCGAGGCCGAAAGGCGUAGUCGAUGGGAAACAGGUUAAUAUUCCUGUACUUGGUGUUACUGCGAAGGGGGGACGGAGAAGGCUAUGUUAGCCGGGCGACGGUUGUCCCGGUUUAAGCAUGUAGGCGGAGGUUCCAGGUAAAUCCGGUACCUUUUUAACGCUGAGGUGUGAUGACGAGGCACUACGGUGCUGAAGUAACAAAUGCCCUGCUUCCAGGAAAAGCCUCUAAGCAUCAGGUAACACGAAAUCGUACCCAAAACCGACACAGGUGGUCAGGUAGAGAAUACCAAGGCGCUUGAGAGAACUCGGGUGAAGGAACUAGGCAAAAUGGUGCCGUAACUUCGGGAGAAGGCACGCUGAUAUGUAGGUGAAGUGAUUUACUCAUGGAGCUGAAAUCAGUCGAAGAUACCAGCUGGCUGCAACUGUUUAUUAAAAACACAGCACUGUGCAAACACGAAAGUGGACGUAUACGGUGUGACGCCUGCCCGGUGCCGGAAGGUUAAUUGAUGGGGUUAUCCGUAAGGAGAAGCUCUUGAUCGAAGCCCCGGUAAACGGCGGCCGUAACUAUAACGGUCCUAAGGUAGCGAAAUUCCUUGUCGGGUAAGUUCCGACCUGCACGAAUGGCGUAAUGAUGGCCGGGCUGUCUCCACCCGAGACUCAGUGAAAUUGAACUCGCUGUGAAGAUGCAGUGUACCCGCGGCAAGACGGAAAGACCCCGUGAACCUUUACUAUAGCUUGACACUGAACACUGGUCCUUGAUGUGUAGGAUAGGUGGGAGGCUUUGAAGUGUGGACGCCAGUCUGCAUGGAGCCAUCCUUGAAAUACCACCCUUUAAUGGCUGGUGUUCUAACGUGGACCCGUAAUCCGGGUUGCGGACAGUGUCUGGUGGGUAGUUUGACUGGGGCGGUCUCCUCCUAAAGAGUAACGGAGGAGCACGAAGGUUAGCUAAUCCUGGUCGGACAUCAGGAGGUUAGUGCAAAGGCAUAAGCUAGCUUGACUGCGAGAGUGACGGCUCGAGCAGGUGCGAAAGCAGGUCUUAGUGAUCCGGUGGUUCUGAAUGGAAGGGCCAUCGCUCAACGGAUAAAAGGUACUCCGGGGAUAACAGGCUGAUACCGCCCAAGAGUUCAUAUCGACGGCGGUGUUUGGCACCUCGAUGUCGGCUCAUCACAUCCUGGGGCUGAAGUAGGUCCCAAGGGUAUGGCUGUUCGCCAUUUAAAGUGGUACGCGAGCUGGGUUUAGAACGUCGUGAGACAGUUCGGUCCCUAUCUGCCGUGGGCGCUGGAGAAUUGAGGGGGGCUGCUCCUAGUACGAGAGGACCGGAGUGGACGCAUCACUGGUGUUCGGGUUGUCAUGCCAAUGGCAUUGCCCGGUAGCUAAAUGCGGAAGAGAUAAGUGCUGAAAGCAUCUAAGCACGAAACUUGCCCCGAGAUGAGUUCUCCCUGAGACUUUAAGUCUCCUGAAGGAACGUUGAAGACGACGACGUUGAUAGGUCGGGUGUGUAAGUGUAGCGAUACAUUGAGCUAACCGAUACUAAUGAACCGUGAGGCUUAACCUU
rnacentral:rRNA from 1 species